rnacentral:rRNA from 1 species
CCUACGGGAGGCAGCAGUAAGGAAUAUUGGUCAAUGGACGGAAGUCUGAACCAGCCAUGCCGCGCUGGAGGAUGAAGGUCCUCUGGAUUGUAAACUUCUUUUAUCUGGGAAGAAAAUGCUUUUUUUCUAAAGAGCUUGACGGUACCAGAUGAAUAAGCACCGGCUAACUCCKUGCCAGCAGCCGCGGUAAU